GAUGAAGAACGUAGCGAAAUGCGAUAAGUAAUGUGAAUUGCAGAAUUCAGUGAAUCAUCGAAUCUUUGAACGCACAUUGCGCCCGCCAGUAUUCUGGCGGGCAUGCCUGUCUGAGCGUCAUUUCAACCCUCACGCCCCUAGGGCGUGGUGUUGGGGAUCGGCCAAAGCCCGCGAGGGACGGCCGGCCCCUAAAUCUAGUGGCGGACCCGUCGUGGCCUCCUCUGCGAAGUAGUGAUAUUCCGCAUCGGAGAGCGACGAGCCCCUGCCGUUAAACCCCCAACUUUCCAAGGUUGACCUCAGAUCAGGUAGGAAUACCCGCUGAACUUAAGCAUAUCAAUAAGCGGAGGA
rnacentral:misc_RNA from 1 species